CUCUGGUCAGGAUUCAGCAGAGCCCACUCCUCCUCGGUGAAAUUCAGAAAAAACUCCUCAAGGGACUGUGGACCCUGAAAGGAAGCCUCCAUACUGGGCAUAUUUGACAAAAGCAAUGAAGUGAGAAAUUUGUUAAAAGAGAAAAUUACCAAGCAUAUAGAAGAACAAGCCUUGCUGUAGGAGAACCAACAUGGAUUCUGCAAGGUUCCACAGCACUUGCUUCCCUGCCGGCACAAAGAAGAGAUGACCGAGGAGACCUUGUUGACAUCUUUCCUGUGGGACACAGAAGUAAGUGGUACCAACGGGUUAAGUCCUCGCGUACUGAAAGGAAAUUCAUUUUUGAACUGUGAAAACGGCUACUGAG